rnacentral:rRNA from 1 species
GUAAACCAUAGCGAGCAAACCGUGGCGGCAUCGCAAGGCGUCGUCGCGGUUAAUAAGGAUAACCCUGGUAAUUCUGAGGCUAAUACAAGAACGUACAACCCGCCCGACCCGCGAGGGAAGGGGGGGGAAUGUGUGACCAGGCACGCAAAUUCGAAACUGGGAGUGGCCACAUGUUCAGACCGUCAUAUCAAACAGUUGCUCGCUUUGAAAGUCCUCGUGACGAGUAAACGGCGGGCUUCUGGGCGGCUCUCGCUGUGUGCUUCUGACCUAUCAACUAGAUGGCAGCGUAACGGACAUGCUAUGGU